rnacentral:misc_RNA from 1 species
UAAUGACUUAAUGACUGUCAAAUCACGGCUUAUAGGACCUCCUUCAAAGCUAACUGUCGUCUCAAUUGUUGGCAUGGGAGGAAUUGGCAAAACGACUCUUGCUAGAAAAGUUUAUGAUGAUAUUUACAUGGAGCAUCACUUCUACAUUCGUGCUUGGAUUACUGUAUCUCAAAUGCAUCAACAUAGAGAAAUGUUGUUGGGCAUCUUGCG